UAUAAGUUUUAUUCUUGCUUAGUUUAAUUAAGUUUUUGUAUCAAUUAUAUGUUUUUUAUUUAAUUUAUUUUUUUCAGUAAUAAGAAUUAUUAAUUAAUUUUAUUAUUAUUAAGGUAUACAAUUAUACUAGAUUAAAAUUGUGCCAGCAUUCGCGGUUAUACAAUUUAUUUAAUUUAAUUUUUUUAGUUUUAAUAAUUUUAUUUAUUGAAAUAAAGAUUUAUUAAUUUAGGUGGAAUUUAUUUUUAAAUAUUAUUUUCUUAAAAAUUUUUAUUAAAUUUAAAUUUUUGACUAGGAUUAGAUACCCUAUUAGUUUUAGUUUAAACUUUAACUUGAAUACUAUCAGUUAAGUUCUGUAAAACUCAAAGAAUUUGGCGGUAAUUUAUUUUUUUAGAGGAAUUUGGUUUUUAAUUGAUGAACCACGAUAAAUUUUACUUUACUUUUAUUUGUAUAUCUCUAUAAUAUGGAAUGUUUUUUUAAUAUAUUUUCUUUUUUUGUUAAAAAAAUUAUAUUAGGUCAAGGUGCAGUUUUUGUUAAGUGAAUUUGAAUUACUUUAAUAAUAUAUAUUUUGGAUAUUUUUAAAAACUAAAAUUUGAAAAAGAAUUUAAUAGUAAAUUUUAAAUAAUUAUUUUUAUUGAAUUUUACACUAAAUUAUGUACAUAUUGCCCGUCACUCUCAUUUUAGUUGAGAUAAGUCGUAACAAAGUAAUUUUACUGGAAAGUGAAGUUAGAAAGUC
rnacentral:ncRNA from 1 species